UGGAAGCCCACUGGCGGUCUGUGAUGGGGCCUAAUAAUUAACAGCGCCUAAGAAUUCGGGUUCUUUCAACUUCUGACCCUGUGUCCUAACUCCAGGCGUUGGAGGUGCUGUAAGCAGACAGGAGAAAGAAUCACGUGGAGGGCAAUAGAAUUCCAGAGCUGGUAAAUGCCGAUAAAAAUGAAGUUCCCAGACCUCUUUUUUUCUUGCACGUGGAAAUGCAGAUGCAGUUAUGGCUGGUAGAGCUUGUAUCACUUUGGACCUGAUGGAUAAAGAAAGGAGCCAUAUGCCUCCAGAAGACUGUUCCCUUGAUCAUAAGAGAGAACAUUUGAAGGACCAUUCAAGCAAGAUCCUGAGGAAUUUUGCUGCACCUGUGCUGCCCCUGUCCUGGGCCAUCCUGUUAGCCAGAAGCUGGGCCAGAGUUGGUUUCUCCAGUUGCUGAUCUUGGUGCUUUGUAAAGACUGAGAAGUUGUCAGAUGAAAUUGGUUUCCCAGUCAUAUGUGGUAGCCAAAGAGGCAACCAGUUUCGUGUCAAGCAUCGAUGUGUAUAAUUAAGAUACUGGCUCUCCUGAUGUCUCUUGCUCCUGAAGUAGGGAUUAGGGGGUUUUUGGCACAUCCACAAAGAUGUCCAAUGGAAUCAGUGUGUGGAAGGAGGACUUUCACUUUUGCCCUUUAACUCCCUUCUCUCUGGAACAUGGACAGCGUCCUAGAAAUGGAGCAGAGCCUUGCAACCAUGAGCCUGAGAGCUUUGGGCUAGCAAUUUUGGACCAUAAAAGGUGCCUGGGAACUUGACGGGGCCACGUGACUAUUACUCACCUUCCAGAAUACCUGCCUCCAGAUUCCUGUUUGGUGGGCUACACCAACCAGGAUUCUAGGACAUGAGUUGGAAUCCAAUCCCUCAAUGAUCAUGGAAGACACCUAACAGAACAUCAGCAAAUGUUUUUUUAAACUCAACUGAUUGACUGAUCCCAUAAACACUCAAGAGAUCCAAUAGAGAGACGGAGUCAAGGCCAGCAAGAAACAGCACCGAAAGGAAUGGUGAUUUAUAUUUCUAAUGUACACUUAAAAAGAUCACUCUGAUUAUAGAACUGGUGAAUAUUUAUCGUAGAAGAUUUUUAAAAUAAAGGAAGAAAUAAAGAAUAUAAAAACAAUGUAUAAACCCACCACCCCAAAAUAACCAUUUUAAACAAUUCUGAGCAUUUCAGAUCUUUUUCUAUACAUAGGCACCAGUCUGUCUGUCUGUCUAUGCAUCCAAAUUAUGCUUACGAGGGAAUGUGGAUUAUAGUGAAAAAGUGAUUUUGUACCCUCCUCCAUUUAAGGAUAUAUUCUUUCAUUCACCACAUGUUUAGAGGGCUUAAUAUCAUGUACCAGGCACUGUUUUAAGUUCUAGGGAUACAUUAGUAUCUUGAAUGUUUUCCUGAAAACUUGAUAUUUAAUGACUUAUUAAUAUUUCAUAUUUUAGGUUAACUAUAAUUCAUUUGACAAAUUCCUGGCUGUUGUAGUUAUCAUUUCACACUAUUAUUAGUAAUUUCUGCAGUGAGUACCCUCAUUCAUGAAUCUUUGUGUUCUUCUCUGAUCAUUCACUUAGGAUAGAAGGGAAGUUAUAUCAGAUUAUAAAGCAUAAACUGUUCACAAAGUUGUUUAGAGAUGCUUCUACAAAAGCAGAUUAUACAAAUAGUAAUAUACAAAUAUUUUAUAAGAAUAAUAUACAAUAAUAUUCAUAAUAAUUCACGAACCCAGGUCCCCAGUAGUGCAUGAGAGUACCCAUCCUGCCACCUCAGUGGUGUUAACUUGUAUUUCAUUGUUAAAUAUCUUUGUAUAUUGCCUCAUAUUAGAAUCUGUUUAUUCUAGUAGGUCUAAUGUCACACUUGUAUAUAAAUAUGUAAUCUUUGUUUUUCCAUUAAUUUUUGUUGAUUUUCACUCAUUGUGACCAUUCAGAAAAUACAGAUUUUAAAGGAAACCCCUGAAACCUAUUUUUAAGGAUUUUCUUUUGAGGAGAAAGUUAUAUUGUAGCCUACUGGCAAAGUCCUGGGGCUUUCAAAAUGGUUUCUUGCUAGUUGCUUUCCUUGGUUAACAUAUUCAGUUCAGGUGCUCACAUUUAGUGGAGGUACAUUAAACAAGGUAGAUGUUCGGUGAAAGUCAAGUGUCCUUCAAAGAGUAAUAACAGCAUCCCAGGGGCUCCCUUUGAGUGUGAAACCUUCUCUGAGACUCAGCAUAAUAAUUUGUUGGGAGAAUCUUCAUGGAAAAAAAAAAAAAAAUCCGGCUUAACGUAGAUCAGCAUAUGACAGUACUGUCCAUGGUGGAAUACUAUCUCUGUUUUUAGACAUAUGCAUGGAAAAGGUCCAGUUGUUGUCGUAAAAAACAAUUUUAAUCCCAAUCACUAAUAAAAUGCUCAUAUUUUGAAGGCAAAUUACCAACUUAUUGAAAGGAAGACACAUCCAAGGACAAGAAAUGUCAUUCAUCAAGAAUUUCUAAGUGUUAAUGUGGUCUAAAUGGAAUGGUAUUUAGUUUAAUUAAAGGAAACUAAAAAAAAAAAAAUUUGUUUAUUCGUCAUCUAGGAAGGUCACCAUGUAGACAACAUAAUAAGAAAUUAAAGGGAGGUCAGCUGGUCUCAAAAGCAAAGCAUCGUUACUUUUGGUACAAAAGGUUGGGCUAGUGGAUGACUCCAUGUUUGGAGUGACUCUGAGUCUAGCUGUACAGUUUCUUGUUAUUGGCUCUUUUUUACCCCAUAGUUUGCUUCUUUGCUUCCCAUGAACACACAUGCCUUAUUUUUUUUAAAGAUUUUAUUUACUUAUUUGCCAGAGAGAGAGAGAGAGAGCACAAG